GUAGGGAAUAUUGGGCAAUGGAGGCAACUCUGACCCAGCCAUGCCGCGUGCAGGAUGACGGCCCUCUGGGUUGUAAACUGCUUUUAUACGGGAAGAAAAAAUACUACGUGUAGUAUACUGACGGUACCGUAAGAAUAAGGAUCGGCUAACUCCGUGCCAGCAGCCGCGGUAAUACGGAGGAUCCAAGCGUUGUCCGGAUUUAUUGGGUUUAAAGGGUGCGUAGGCGGAUCUUUAAGUCAGUGGUGAAAGCCUGCAGCUUAACUGUAGAAUUGCCAUUGAAACUGAAGAUCUUGAAUGUGGUUAAAGUAGGCGGAAUGUAUCAUGUAGCGGUGAAAUGCUUAGAUAUGAUACAGAACACCGAUAGCGAAGGCAGCUUGCUGAACCAUUAUUGACGCUGAGGCACGAAAGCGUGGGGAGCGAACAGGAUUAGAAACCCGAGUAGUCC
rnacentral:rRNA from 1 species